UUACAAGCAACCUGUCCUCAAGUCUCUAGACCUUGAAGUACAAGCAAACAACAAUUCUAGAGCCUACCAACAACAUUUUAUUUAAUUAUUUACAAUCUACACUAUUGCUACCUACUACACUGUAAGCUACUCGAGAGCUAUAAUUGGCUCUCGAACUGUUCCCGGAGGCUCGGAGUAGCUCUCGAGCCACUCGAAAAUUUUCUGCAAACUCCGAUCCUGCUUUAAGAUUUCAUCUGUGCCCUGGUGUUCUCCUCUUGUGCUGUCCUAGGAUUCUUUGUACCUAAUUAGAUCGCCUCCUUUGAUAUCCAUCUUAGCUCGCGAGCUAUCCCUGAGAACCCUUUUGUCCGUCUCCUUUUCUUCAUCUUUUU
rnacentral:lncRNA from 1 species